GCAGCAGCCGCGGUAAUACGGAGGGUGCGAGCGUUGUCCGGAAUCACUGGGCGUAAAGGGCGCGUAGGCGGCGCGGAAAGUCGUCGGUGAAAGCUCAGGGCUCAACUCUGAGUCUGCCGGUGAUACUCCCGCGCUUGAGCUCACUAGAGGCAGAUGGAAUUCCGGGUGUAGCGGUGGAAUGCGUAGAGAUCCGGAAGAACACCGGUGGCGAAGGCGGUCUGCUGGGGUGAGGCUGACGCUGAUGCGCGACAGCGUGGGGAGCAAACAGGAUUAGAUACCCUGGUAGUCCACGCCGUAAACGAUGGGCACUAGGUGCUUGGGGGAGCGACCCCUUGAGUGCCGGCGCUAACGCAUUAAGUGCCCCGCCUGGGGAGUACGGCCGCAAGGCUGAAACUUAAAGGAAUUGGCGGGGGAU
rnacentral:rRNA from 1 species